AGAAGCUUAGGAUUAAGCCUAAACCAGCGGUCUUCAACACCACAAAUUAAGGGAUGCCCCUUAAGCUUCUG
rnacentral:tRNA from 1 species